CCCCGCCCCGAGUUAAUGGACCAUGCACUCUGGCAGCUUGUCUGAAGCACACAGGCAGACAAAGCUCUGUGCUUAGAAAGUCCCUGUCCUGGGGUUCCCCACUUGCUGGAGAGAAAUGGACUCAGAGAAACCCAAACACUCAGCAAAACAGGUGAGAGCCUGAGGACAGCUGUGUGUCCUCUUCAUGCUGAAGUCCCAGAGUCUGGCACAGUGCCCAGUGUGCGGCAGGCUCCCAUGACAUGCUCGAGAAACGACCUUGCCAGGCCUGCUCACAUAACUGGUGUUACUAGAGAUGCAGAAUCUGAAGCCCAGAGCAGGGACAUUAUUCAUCUAAAGCUUUGGAGUCCGUGCUUAGGAAAGGAAAGAAAUCCCAAACCAAGGGCAUAGUGUUGACGACGGGCUGGACAAGGACAAAGGUGAAAGAGGUGAUGUAAGCAGAGACCCGGGUGAAGACUGUGGGCUUCCUGGAGACGUUACAGCCCAGGCUGGACACAAAGCUGGUCACUCCAUGGACAGUGUACUUGCCAUUCACCGAGCAAUGGAGGGGGCCCCCAGAAUCACCCUGCAGGGAGGAGAAGAUUUGGUGGCAGAGGCCAGACCAAAGGACACUUCUGACAGCUUUGAGGACACCAAGAAACAGGCAUGGUGGCAUUCUAAGAACACUUGUUUACGGUCUUUCUUACCAUUUCCAAGGGCGAUGGCUUUUCUCCUUUUUGCCUGGAUUCUCCUAUUUAACCAUCAGGACUCACUACAGACUCUGCUUUCUUGGGGAAGGCAAGUCUUUUCUGACCAUGAGAGAUACCGUCACCUGUAUAUACGCCUGGAAAUGCUACAGAGCGCACACCAUGGAUUUCUUCACGAUGGAGCCCCAGUAGGAGGAGCUGGAGCAGAUGGCGUAGUCCACGGUGGGCAGGUACGCCUGCUGCAGAACCUGGGCCAGCUGCCCAUUGGCUAACAGGACACACAGAGUUGGAGGUCAGGCCCAGAUGCUCUCCAGGGGAGAAACCUUCCACAACCUGCCAAACCUUCCCAAGCUCUGAUGAAAGCUCCUGUCUCUGCCCAUUGUGUGCCACAGAUCCUCCCCCUUCCCCCUCUUUAUAUGGAAGCUACAGGCCUCUUCCUUCAGGGGUCAUCCCCUAUCACUGUUCCCAAGCUCCAAACCACCAAGCUCUAAUCUCCUACUCCUGCUUUUAAAAAAAAAAAAAAAUGUUGUUAAAGCAA